UCGCCGUCGCCGUGCCCUAGGUGCCGAGCGCCACUGACCACCGUAGCACCGCCGCACCUUUUACUCUAGCGCCAGCCUUCUGCCCGUGAUGCUGACCCCCUCUGCCGCCGGUGACGAGCCACCUCUCCGACUUCCCUGUGCGCCGGCCGAAGUUUCCCUUCCUUGUGUCUCUGAUCUAGAGUGAUUGCGGCCUUGUUUCUGCCCUAUGCGACGCCGCCUCUGUACACUAUGCCUAGGUCGCCGGAAAUCAAGAGCUUAAGAAGGUGACAGGGGGUAGUUGUAACCCGGCCAGUGGAACUGAAGCACUUGGGUGUGGGAUGGCUAAUUUAGUGUAUAGGGUUUGGUGGACAGCGGCUUCACCAACUUCUGAUUCUCGCUGUCAUCAUCGAAGAAGAGCAACUUGAUCAGGGCAGUAGGUUGUUACGUCUGGCCAGUAGGUUUGAUUUGGGGCUGUUGGAACUUGUCGUGGCAAUCUUGCUUUGGUUGAGGGCAUCAAGGAAGAGGUAAGCCACUCACCUUGUUCCAGCAGCAAACACAUUCCUUGAUUAUGGAUUAAUCACGGCCGUGAAUUGAGGUAAGGUUUAGAGUUUUGAUUUUCAUGGUAGAUUAUUGCUAGUUGUGUUAGCAAUAAUUAAUAACUUAAGUUUAUAAGUUAUAUAAUAGUGUAAUCAGGAUUAAUGAAACUAACCCUAAAUGAU